rnacentral:rRNA from 1 species
AUUGAACGCUGGCGGCAGGCCUAACACAUGCAAGUCGAACGAGUGGCAGACGGGUGAGUAAUGUCUGGGAAACUGCCUGAUGGAGGGGGAUAACUACUGGAAACGGUAGCUAAUACCGCAUACCAUCGGGUGUGCCCAGAUGGGAUUAGCGAGUAGGUGGGGUAACGGCGCACAGGGGCGACGAUCCCUAGAUGGUCUGAGAGGAUGACCAGCCAGACUGGAACUGAGACACGGUCCAGACUCCGACGGGAGGCAGCAGUGGGGAAUAUUGCACAAUGGGCGCAAGCCUGAUGCAGCCAUGCCGCGUGUAUGAAGAAGGCCUUCGGGUUGUAAAGUACUUUCAGCGAGGAGGCGUUACUCGCAGAAGAAGCACCGGCUAACUCCGUGCCAGUAGCCGCGGUAAUAC